rnacentral:rRNA from 1 species
CUAACACAUGCAAGUCGCACGAGAAAGGGCUUCGGCCCCGGUAAAGUGGCGCACGGGUGAGUAACACGUAGGCAAUCUGCCCUAAAGUGGUGGAUAACCCUCCGAAAGGAGGGCUAAUACAGCAUGAGACCACGGCAUCCACGGAUGCUGCGGCCAAAAGUGGACCUCUCCACGGAAGUUCACGCUAUAGGAUGAGCCUGCGGCCCAUCAGCUUGUUGGCGAGGUAAUGGCUCACCAAGGCUAAGACGGGUAGCUGGUCUGAGAGGAUGAACAGCCACACUGGAACUGAGACACGGUCCAGACUCCUACGGGAGGCAGCAGUGGGGAAUCUUGCACAAUGGGCGAAAGCCUGAUGCAGCGACGCCGCGUGAGCGAUGAAGGCCUUCGGGUUGUAAAGCUCUGUGGGGAGGGACGAAUAAGGGUUGGCUAAUAUCCAAUCUGAUGACGGUACCUCCUUAGCAAGCACCGGCUAACUCUGUGCCAGCAGCCGCGGUAAGACAGAGGGUGCAAACGUUGUUCGGAAUCACUGGGCGUAAAGCGCGUGUAGGCGGCUACGUAAGUCGGACGUGAAAGCCCACGGCUCAA